UUAGCGCGACAACUUGAGCUCUCUCACAGUCUCACUAGUUUGGGAAGCCGCAAUGGCAGCAGACAAGGCUGAAGAAGACGAGUCGGUUCCGGCGGCAGCUCCGCGUGGCCGUUACGUCAACAAGAGAAAGGUCUCAGGUACCCACCUUCAAAUUAGACCCUGAAAUUUUCUUCCUUUUAUGAUUUUGGUGAAUUGGGUUUUGGUGUGUCUUGGUUUCACAAGAGGAAGAAGAAUAUUGAACUUCUUGCAUCAGGGACUUCAUACGAGAGUCAUUUGUGUUAGAAAUAGCUGAAUUGAAUUCCAGUGUUUGAGGAAUCAGGUGAUUCCACAUUCGGCUGCUGUGGUGGUGUUGAACUAGUACUAGAAGCUGCUGACACUGCUGAAGGAGAUAGGUUCGGAGAUUUAGACUUUUAACUGUUGAACAUAUUAGACUGAGUAUCAGUGAUUGAUUUCUUAGAACUGUUUUUCACUUUCGUUAGAUUAGUUAGAGUUGUUAUCUGUGUUGUGUUGAUUUUGGGUUCUUGCUGUAAACGAGUUCAGGGAUGAAGGGUUUGGUGAUGGGAAUUUGAGGUUUGGGACUGUAGGGGUUUGGUAAAGGCUUGAAUUUGGUAACUGGGUUUAGAUCAAAAUUCUGGCUUUUAUAUGGGAACUGUGGAUUUGGUGAGAAAGAUUGAAAAUUUGAUGAUGGGUUGAAGAUUGUAGAAUAGACGAGCUAUACGACAAUCUGAAAGAUUGAACAUUCUCUAUGUGAGAAUGUUCAAUAUUUGAUGAUGGAUCCCAUAUGCCAACCGUGAAAUAUUGUAGGAAGCUUGCAGAUCGACCGGAUUGCAUAUAUUAACCGAGAAAUGUGAUAUUUUAUUCAUUUACAUUGGGACCGGUGUUUAAGAACUGUUUAGAUUCAUUACAGUCAGUUGAGCAGUAGCAUUUUUUUAUAACAAAGCUAAGAAUAUCCAACAUGCCAACCGCGAGAUAUUGUUGGGAGUCUUGGGAGUCUGACCAUGCAUAGCUCACAGAUUGUCGUAUAGCUCAAAGAGAAUGUAGUAUAACUUGAACUCCAUGUUGUGGACGAACUGUAAGAAACUGAAAAGGCGAGUGGACAUAAGCUGGGGAAAGGGUAAAUGAGUAGUGUUGUAGAAUCAUUGAGAGCGCAAUCUUUGCUUCAUUGGAAGCGAAGUUGAUUCCUGCACACAUUCUAGGUCCCAUUCCAAAGGGUGAGAAUGAACCCAUGUUAUCAUUAGUAGCUUUAGCAACCCCUUCAGAGAAUCUCUCUGGUUUGAAAAGUGCCGCUUCUUGUCCCCAUAUUUGAGAAUCAUGAUGAAGUGCUACAGUUGGGAUAAGCAAUUCAACAUUUGCAGGAACUUGGACUGCUCCCAGUUUUACUUCUCUUGGAACUAUCCUUCCGAUCAAAUUAACAGGAGGAUAUAACCUUAGAGUCUCAUUAAUAAUCAUGCUCAUCUGCAUGCAUCAAAAUAUAAAAAGAUAAGAGAUGAAACUGAGAUUAGUAAACUAACUUAGUUGCAGAUGCCCGUCAAUUAGACGAUCAUAUAUGUGUGUGCGUGUGUUUGUGUGUGUUUAUAUCUAUUUUUCAAUUGAGAUAGUGAUGUUCUUACUGUUUUGAGUUUGGAAAUGCCAUCAGAAUUUGGAGUUUCUUUGCCAAAUAACUGCAACACCUCCUUUCUUGCUUCCUCUUGCCAUUCAGGAUGUUGUGCCAGAAGAAAAACAGUCCAAGAAAGCAAAGUACUAGUUGUCUCCUGUCCAACAAAGUAUAAUGCCUUGCACUCUUCAACCACAUUGUCUAUCGAAAAUUUCUGGUCGUCAUUGAUGUCAUGAUGAGACUUCAAAAGUAAGCCAAGAAAAUCACUCCCAAAGCUCUCUCCUUCCCCGCUGCUUGCCUUCUGUUCUCUUUUCUUAACAAUCUCCAUUACAGAGUCUUGUAUUUCUUUCUCAAGCUUGUCUGCUUCAAUCUCACCGCUGGUUCUAUAAACCUUGCUGCUAUUUUGAAUGAGAAGCAACAUGCAUCAACCAAUUAAUCAAUAUUCAAUAGCUAAAAGAGAAAGAUCGAUUCUGGGAAGCUACCUGAUUCCAGGAAACCUGGUCUUGUACUUGUAAAGAUUUUUGAAUACUAUGAUGCUUAAAUUCUUCAACAUUUCAAAAAUGUUUUGUCCUUCUAAGUAGCUGCUGCCAAACGCUGUCCUGGCAAUCACUUCUGAAGUCAACAAUCUAAAUUCCUCAAACACAUCAGUCUCUUUUCCUUCAUGAUUUUUCCACCUUUCUAUCAUCGCCUCUGCACUAGCUGUCAUGUCUGGAAACAUAGCCUUGUAACAAAAUACCAUCAUACAACUAUUAAGUUUAAUAUUCUUGUUUUAGGAGAAUUUUAGAAAUAACUGUGUUUUUUUGAAACUUUCUUGAACUAAAACAUAUUGAUUUUUUUUUCAAUUAAAACUAAAACUGAAACAUAUUGAUUGAAGGACCUAAAUAAGUAUAUAUGGAACAGUCCUAGUCUAACCCAUGAUCUCCACGAUCAUAAUUUGAGAAGUAACAAACAGCCACAGGUCCAGAACUCAUGGUAUCUAAACAUAUUGCAGUAAGAAAGUAAGAAACAACUAUGAAGAGUAACUUACUUUUAAGCUCUCUCCAUGGAAGGCAUGGUUGGCCAGCUUUCUCAAAUUGGCCCAUUUUUCAUCUUCUGUCAUGGCAAGGCUAUCUCCAAAUAGCUUCUUCACAAUGUCACUAGGCUUUGGUUUUGGAAAAGCUCCAUCUUUGUUAUUGAAAAUCUCUUUGCAUGACUCAGGUUCUGUAACAACCAAAACUGGUUGAACACCAUACCACAUAAGAAAGUUCUUCCCUGUGUAACACAGCGCUUGGACCAAAUUAAAACAUUGAACAGAGUUUGAUAAUAAACUAUAUUUAGUUAAGUAACUAAGAGUUUGUGAUACCAUAUCUCUUCGACCACGAGUGAAUAUGAGGAUGAAGUCGAGGAAAUAUAUCAUGUGAUAAGUUUCUGGGCAUGAGCGCAGCUUCCUUUUGCAUGUUGAUGAUUUCUUUGCCGUUUCCAUACAGAAGUCUGUAUGGAGGACCUUUGAUUCCCCUCAGACUCAUCAGUUUCUGAAUCCGAAUAGGAGUCCACCAUAGUUUGUGAAACACCUUGAUUAGAGCUAAGAGAAGAAGAAACAGACACAGAAACCUUAACAUCAUGAUCAUCUUUCUUGUCAUUUUUCUUCCAGGCUCGGUCCGCUAUUUAACUUUUCUGGUAUUCAUUGAUAAUUAUUGUUGACUUUGACAUUUUGGCAGGCAAAGGAGUAUGACAAAUACUAGAGCCUAGAGAUCAAUCUUGUCCACAUCUUGAUGACACUAUAUGAAUAUGAAAUAAAAUGCCGUGGAGUAACUAAACAGGUAAAAAAACUGAGUAUGAACUGGUCAAAUGCCACCACUGGUGUGAAAGUUAAAUACGAAUAGUUAUUUUUAUUUUAUAAGCUACAAUAUGUUCUAGAUGGAAUGUAAGAUUUUAUGGGGAAAUUUUGGUCUUCACCAGUCAGAGUGAGUGUAGAAUAACUUGAAGUCCAUGCUGUGGACGAACUGUGAGAAAUUGAAAGGGUGAGUGGACAUAAGCUGGGGAAAGUGUGAAGGAGUAGCGUUGUAGGAUCAUUGCAAGAGCAAUCUUUGCUUCUAUGGUGGCAAAGUUGAGGCCAACACAAGUUCUAGGUCCCAUUCCAAAGGGUAAGAAUGCAGCCAUGUUGUUGUUGGUAGCACUUGCAACACCUUCUGAGAAUCUCUCCGGUUUAAAAACUUUCACAUCUUGUCCCCAGAACUGAGGUUCAUGAUGAAGUGCUAGAUUUGGGACAAGAAAUUCAACAUUAGGAGGGAUAGUAAGGUUUCCCAGUCUAACUUCCUUAUCCACGUUUCGUGCGAGGGUUAUAACAGGAGGAUAUAGCCUCAGAGACUCAUUGAUGAUCAUACUCAUCUGCAUCAAAAUAUAAAGAGCAGCUCAAGAUUAAUCGAACAUUUAUCCCAUUUAGACAAACAUAUACAUGAGGGCAGAGUUUUUAUACUUUCUUACUGUUUUCAGUUUAGCAAGGCCAUCAGGACUUGGAGGUUGUUUGCCAAAUAUUUGCAGGACCUCCUUUCUCGCUUCCUCUUGCCAAUCCGGAUGGAGAGCCAGAAGAAAGACAGUCCAAACAAGCAAAGAGUUGGUGGUAUCUUGUCCAGCAAAGUAAAACGUCUUGCACUCCUCAACCAAUUCAUUCACUGAAAUCCUCUGCUUGUCAUUGGCACCAUGGUGAGCCUUCAAAAGUAACCCAAGAAAAUCAGUCCCAAAGCUGCCUUCUUCUCCGGUCACUGCCUCCCUCUCUCUUUUCUUUACAAUUUCUACUAUGGUGUCACGUAUUCCUUUCUCAAGCUUCUCUGAUUCUUUCUCAUCACUAGUUUUAUAAAACUUGCUGCAAUUUUGAAUUCAAUAAGCUUAAGAAGUAACACCACUCGGUAGUUGAUAUCAUACAUCUUCAUUUAAGUAAUCAAGAACAUCAAAUAAUAGAAUAUCCAAAAACAGCUAAAAGGAACAUCAAUUGUUUCAAUUUAGAGGAAGGUACCUGAUGCCAGGAACCCUGAAUUUAUGAGCGUUUCUGAAUAUUAAGGAGCCUAACUUCAUCAACAUGUCAAAAAUAUCCUUCCCUUCUAAAUAGCUGCUACCAAAUGCUGUCCUAGAAAUCACUUCUGAAGUGAACCUCCUGAAAUGUUCAUACACCUCAAUCUCUUUUUCUUCAUGCUUCUUCCACCCUUCGAGCAUUGUCUCAGCACUAGCUAUCAUGUCUGGAAUCAUAUUCUAGCAAAACCCAACAGUACCCUAAUUUAGUAAGCAAAUUGUCCUACAAUUUGUGCAUUUCUUAUGAACAAUUGAGACAAGUACCACUACUUAAUACUACUACACUAAUCUUUGCAAGGGUCACCAGUAAGUAGUACUAUUUAUUCACAAAUUAAACAACUUGGUUUUGAGUCAGAGAUAAAUGCAACAAAGGUAACUUACUUUUAAGCUGUCUCCAUGGAAGGCAUGGUUGGAAAGCUUUCUCAGUUUUGACCAUUUUUCACCUUCUGCCAUGGAAAUGCUGUCUCCCAAUAGCUUCUUCACAUAGAUACUGGGCUUCUGUUUGGUGAAAACCCCAUCUUUGUUGUGGAGUAUCUCCUUGACUAACUCGGGUUCUGUAAUCACCAAAACUGGUUGAAGACCAUACCAUUGUAGAUAAUUCUUCCCUGUAGCAGAUAGUAAUUAACCACAAAAAGAUCACAUCUUUGAAGUAAGACUUGACAAAUAAACAUUUUUGAGUUAAGAGUUGGCUAAUUACCAUAGAUCUUGGUCCAUGAGUGAAUGUGAGGCUGAACUGCAGAUAGUACUUCAUGUGAUAAGUUCAGUACGGGCCUGCUCAUGGCUUCCAUUAGCAUGUUGCUGAUUUCUUUGUUGUUUCCAUGGAUGAGUUUGUAAGAAGGACCUCUGAUUCCCUGAGCAGCCAUGAAUUUCUGUGUACGAGUCGGAAUCCACCAUAGUUUAUGAAAGAUCUUGAUGAAUAUCAGAGCCAACAGAAGAAGGAAAGUACACAAAGCAGUGGGAAGAGUGAGCACUGUGUCUCUCAUCCAACUCAUCAUUUUUUUUCUUGUUGUUUGUGUUCGCUUUUGGGAUCUCUGUGUUACAUAGCAUGUUUGAAACUUUGAAAGGCCAUUGUUGACCCAAGCUAGGUGCCAUUAUUGGCCACACACUUAAAAUCAAAGAUCACUUUCCAAAAUGGAAAUAACUUGAGUGAUCUGCUAUGGUCAUUUAUAGCUGACAAACACGAAUGAGAGAUGAACAAGUGUCAACAAUAAUUAUAAACAAACAUGUUAAAAACCCAAAACCCUUCAUGUUAUAUCCUUAAAUUACAAUCAAGUCUUUUAAAAUAGAUAUGUGUCCCAUGUUUAUUGAUUAUGGUCACCUUAAGGUGACCAACCCUUGUCACCGAAAUUAUUUGUCACUGUUUAUUUGUUUAUUGGGUACCCUUAAGGUAACCAACCCUUCCAAAAUUAUGUACUGAUCUAUCUCACUGUCUCAGAAUAGUCAGAACAUUAGUUUUCUUCUUACAGAUUUGGAUUAUUUGUCUACAGAGCGCAGUGGAAGUAAUCUUCAUGCAAAGCUGAUGCUGGAAACUAACUCCGGAAAUGGAUGAAUGCUUCUUCACAGUAUUCAUAUGUAUCCUUAAAAUAUAUCAGUCUUAAUGAAGGGUCUAUUAGUCUUUGAAAUUUGCUUGCUAG
rnacentral:lncRNA from 1 species